rnacentral:tRNA from 1 species
UAGAGAGAGACAUAGGGGUUAUGAUAUUGGCUUGAAACCAUUGUUUGAGGGUUCGACUCCCUCCUCUCUUGC